rnacentral:rRNA from 1 species
ACGGAGGGUGCGAGCGUUGUCCGGAAUCACUGGGCGUAAAGCGCACGUAGGCGGCUUGUUAAGUCAGGGGUGAAAUCCUGGAGCUCAACUCCAGAACUGCCUUUGAUACUGGCGAGCUUGAGUUCGGAGAGGUGAGUGGAACUGCGAGUGUAGAGGUGAAAUUCGUAGAUAUUCGGAAGAACACCAGUGGCGAAGGCGACUUACUGGACGAUUGUUGACGCUGAGGUGCGAAAGCGUGGGGAGCAAACAGGA